rnacentral:rRNA from 1 species
UACGGAGGGUGCGAGCGUUGUCCGGAAUCAGUACGUGGGCGUAAAGGGCGGCGUAAGGUGGCCUGUGGAAGUCGUGACCGGUCGAAAGCCCGGCGCUCAACGCCGGGUCGGCCGUGGAUACUCUCGGGCUUGAGCUCACUAGAGGCAGAUGGAAUUCCGGGUGUAGCGGUGGAAUGCGAUAGAGACUCCGGAAGAACGACCGGUGGCGAAGGCGGUCUGCUGGGCCGUUGCUGACGCUGAGGCGCGACAGCGUAGGGGAGCAAACGAGG